rnacentral:rRNA from 1 species
AUUGAACGCUGGCGGCAGGCCUAACACAUGCAAGUCGAGCGGAUGAAGGGAGCUUGCUCCUGGAUUCAGCGGUGGACGGGUGAGUAAUGCCUAGGAAUCUGCCUGGUAGUGGGGGAUAACGUCCGGAAACGGGCGCUAAUACCGCAUACGUCCUGAGGGAGAGAGUGGGGGAUCUUCGGACCUCACGCUAUCAGAUGAGCCUAGGUCGGAUUAGCUAGUUGGUGGGGUAAAGGCCUACCAAGGCGACGAUCCGUAACUGGUCUGAGAGGAUGAUCAGUCACACUGGAACUGAGACACGGUCCAGACUCCUACGGGAGGCAGCAGUGGGGAAUAUUGGACAAUGGGCGAAAGCCUGAUCCAGCCAUGCCGCGUGUGUGAAGAAGGUCUUCGGAUUGUAAAGCACUUUAAGUUGGGAGGAAGGGCAGUAAGUUAAUACCUUGCUGUUUUGACGUUACCAACAGAAUAAGCACCGGCUAACUUCGUG